rnacentral:lncRNA from 1 species
CAUAUAAUUUUCACGAGUCGUGAAAUAUUCUUCUUUGGUCCUUUCCCCCCCGCCCCACCAAUCCUCUAAAAGUGUAAGAACUAUUCUCAGCUCAUGGGCCAUGCAAAAAUAGGCAGCUGGUUGGAUCUCACUUGUGGGCUGUGGUUUGCCAACCCUCCUUUAGAGCUGGUUCUGCUGUUUAUCAAGUGUGUAAUCUUGGAUAGGUUCCCUGGAUAAACCUCAGUGUCCUCAGCUACAAGACGCGAAAAGUAAGGAGGAGUUCCUCCGUCAGGGACUGGGGGAUGCGAUGGAGUAACUGUGAAGUGUUUAGCAUGAUACUUACGUAGAUCACUCUUGGGAGUGGGAGGUGUCAUGAUAAGAUGAUGCUGAGUCCCUUGAAGUUGUUUGUCCUCCCAAAAUAUACUGAUAGGGGGUGCUUGUCACUGUGUAACAACCUCAGCCUUUUUUGCACUUGGUGCUAGUGAAAAGUUGAGGGAAAAUCCAACCAUGCCCACAGGACAGAAAUACUUUUUUUUUUUUUAAACCAAAGAAAAGCCUUUUUACAAAAUAGCAACUCAUCAGGGAAAAGAAAUGUCCGAACUAAAUGAGAGCAGGCUGCACGUUGGACCUGCUGACAUGAAGCCAGGGCAAGGUGCUUCCCCACUCUGGCCUGCGUUUCCUCCUCUGCAUAAGGAGAAUUUUGGAUUUGGUCCUCUCCCGGGUCAGUCCACCUCUAACACUCUGUCAUGCCAGGUGAUAACCAAAAUAUCUAGAUCCAGCAUUCAUGUCUGCAAUGUUCUUGCUUUGCUAGCAAGGCCCCUGCCACCAAGAGGAGAUCACACGUUUUCUAGAUGUCCUUUUUUACCUCCCCACAGGGUCACUGGGGCUUCCCUGUAGGUGAGGUCCUUGGGCAAGUCUACCUCUCUACACCUCAGUUUCCUCAUCUGUGAAAUGGGGAUAAUAACAAUGGUCUCAACAGCACGGGGUUGAGGGGAAAACGAAAUAGGAUGCUAGGUGCAAAGUGCAUAGCAUGGGACAAGAACUUUGCCAAAGUCAACGAAGAGCUCAGUGUUCUGCAUUGGUGCCCGCCUCCAUGCUCAGGUCCUCAAGAGACCCGUGACGGUCUUCCCUUGAUCUUGGCUUUGGUGUUGGUGAUGGCGGUAAGGAAUCAUCUAGUAGCCAAGUAGGACCUUUUAUUCCUGAGGACUAAUGAGACUGUGAACUUUGUGAAUCCUCCACUCCUAGCAGCCAGAAGACUCAGCCCAGGCCAGAGGUCGUGGUCUGUGGGGCUCUGGUGGUCAGCAGAAGAGGCCAGGAUAGAGCGAGACGGACAAUGACCACGAGCACAGAAAGCUGCAGAGGAGCAGGAUCCAGAAGCAGAAGCUUGUGACUUGGCACCUGUUUCCGGAACCCACUAUGGCCCAACCUUCUCAGAAGAUUUUGCACCUUGAGCCAAAGAGGAUGCAGGGCUCUUGGGACCCAAGAGCCUGAGUAGGGCUUCUGCCCUCCCUCUCCGGCCUGAAGUUUCCCAUUCAUCAGCUGGAACCUUCACACCUGCCCAGAGGACUGCUGACUCGCACUGACGGUGGCCACAAGAAUUCAGAUGUGAUGGCUGCAGCUUAAGCAGCCAUCAUGGACCAUGAAGUAGACACACUAAACCUGCUGCAGGAGCAAGAUGGAAGGAGUCUGGACCUCUGACAAUGACAGUUUCACAAAACUUUUCCUGGGGUGUACGCCUCCAGACACCUCUUAUUCCUGAGAGGCAGAUAAACUGCUCCCUUUUAAAGCCACUGUUGUUUUGAGUUGAUCUGUUACACAUAGUCAAACCUGAUCCAAACUCAAAAAUAAAAGAAAAAGCAAAAAAACCUGAUCCAAACUGAUUCAAGUCCCUGCUGUGUGACAGACACUCUUCGAGGUUGUGGUGACCCAGCAGUGAGGAUAGGAUGGUCACCAGCACAGUGACCAUAGUGCCUGCCCUGUACAGCCACAUUCCAGUGGAGAGAAAGCUAUAUAUGAGGAAACAGUAAUUUUAUGAAAUAAUUGGUGGCAUGAAAUAAAACAGGUGAUAUUGAGUGAGA